UCCUGGUUCCCUGUAUUUCCAAGAGGUGU
rnacentral:piRNA from 1 species